rnacentral:tRNA from 4 species
UGGGGUGUCGCCAAGUGGUAAGGCAUCGGAUUUUGAUUCCGACAUUCGUAGGUUCGAUCCCUACCACCCCAGCCA